GUGCUUGUUUCAGCAGCACAGACACUAAAAUUGGAAUGAUACAGAGAAGGUUGGCAUGGCUCCUGCUGAAGGAUGACAUGCUAAUUCAUAAAAUGUUCCAUAUUUUU
ensembl:snRNA U6 U6 spliceosomal RNA